GGACGAACGCUGGCGGCGUGCUUACCACAUGCAAGUCGAACGGAAAGGCCCUGCUUUUGUGGGGUGCUCGAGUGGCGAACGGGUGAGUAACACGUGAGUAACCUGCCCUUGACUUUGGGAUAACUUCAGGAAACUGGGGCUAAUACCGGAUAGGAGCUCCUGCUGCAUGGUGGGGGUUGGAAAGUUUCGGCGGUUGGGGAUGGACUCGCGGCUUAUCAGCUUGUUGGUGGGGUAGUGGCUUACCAAGGCUUUGACGGGUAGCCGGCCUGAGAGGGUGACCGGCCACAUUGGGACUGAGAUACGGCCCAGACUCCUACGGGAGGCAGCAGUGGGGAAUAUUGCACAAUGGGCGGAAGCCUGAUGCAGCAACGCCGCGUGCGGGAUGACGGCCUUCGGGUUGUAAACCGCUUUCGCCUGUGACGAAGCGUGAGUGACGGUAAUGGGUAAAGAAGCACCGGCUAACUACGUG
rnacentral:rRNA from 1 species